AGUCAAACAGCCACUUACAGUGGGUACGGAAAGUAUUCAGACCCCUUUAAAUUUUUUACUCUUUGUUUCAUUGCAGCCAUUUGCUAAAAUCAAAAAAGUUCAUUUUAUUUCUCAUUAAUGUACACUCAGCACCCUAUCUUGACAGAAAAAAACAGAAAUGUAGAAAUUUUUGCAAAUUUAUUAAAAAAGAAAAACUGAAAUAUCACAGGUCAUAAGUAUUCAGACCUUUACUGUGACACUCAUAUUUAACUCACCUGCGGUCCAUUUCUUCUGAUCCUCCUUGAGAUGGUUCUACUUCUUCAUUGGAGUCCAGCUGUGUUUAAUUAAACUGAUUGGACUUGAUUAGGAAAGGCACACACCUGUCUAUAUAAGACCUUACAGCUCACAGUGUAUGUCAGAGCAAAUGAGAAUCAUGAGGUUGAAGGAACUGACCCAAGGAGCUCAGUGGCAAGGCACAGGUCUGGCCAAGGUUACAAAAGAAUUUCUGCAGCAUUCAAGGUUCCUAAGAGCACAGUGGCCUCCAUAAUCCUUAAAUGGAAGAAGUUUGGGACGACCUGGGGUCCGUUUCACGAAGCAGGUUUAGUGAAAACUCUGAGUUUGUUAACCCUGAAAUGAGGGAAACUCUGAGUUUUCCGUUUCACAAAGGGAGGUAACUCAAACCAGAGACAGAGGGGUAACUCUAGCCUGUUUCACAAAGAGAGGUAACUGAAGCUCUCGGUCAGUUACCAUAGUAACAGACUCUAUGAAUCUAACCUGGUCGGGACCAGGUUUUUCUCAGUAAACCUCGAGUUUCUCUCUGUCUCCGCCCUCUUUCAGUCACACACGCCAUUUCAUUUCCUCAUUCAUUCAGUCAACUGGCGAGUUUUGGCGAAGUCUAGUUCUGCCGUGUGUCAAAAUGACGUCCUUUUAUGAACGAUCCAGUGGAUGAAGGAGCAGCAUUACUGUGCAGAAAAUUAAAUAUUCGUCGGGAGAUUGUUAUCAGACCGCGCAUAGAUGUUUUGGCAUUUCCGGACAGUUAUCUUUUUGAACGGUACCGUUUCACAUCACGGUCCAUAACCUACAUCCACAACCUAAUCCAUCUUUACAUUUACAACAUGACCAACCUCAGUCAUGCUCUCACAUCCCAGCAGAUAUUGUGUGUUGCGCUGCGGUUCUUUGCAAAUGGGAGUUUUUUAUACAACGUCGGAGAUGCAGAGCACUUCAGUAAGACAACUGUAUGCAGGACGGUCAGAAAAGUGAGUCUGGCCCUGAAACAACUUUUACCAUCUUUGUGGUUUUCCCUGGACAUAAACCUGUCAGAACCAUCAAGGAGGAGUUCCACAGGAUUGCAUGUGAAUGAUGUAGAGAUCUGGAUUUCUCAGUGUGAUUGGCUGCAUGGAUGGAACACACAUCCCCAUCACAGCUCCCUCACAUAAUGAAGCUGAUUAUGUGAACAGGAAGUCCAUUCACAGCAUAAAUGUGCAGAUCAUAUGUGAUGCUGCAUACAUCAUUUCUAAUGUGGAGGCCAAGUGGUCUGGAUCUGUUCAUGACUGGAGGAUUUAUCAUGAGUCUAACCUGAGCAACAGACUGCAACGUGGAGAGUUUGAUGGCCUUCUGCUGGGUGACAGGGGUUACCAUGCCAACCUAGUCUGAUGACCUCAUACCCUGACCCUGAACCAGGCCCCCAACAGAACUUCAACCGGGUUCACUGCAGGAUGAGAGCCAGGGUGGAGAUGACCAUAGGCCUGCUGAAAGCCCGUUUCCAGUGUCUACAUCACCUCAGGGUGACUCCUGAGAGGCCUGUGAUAUUAUUGUGGCAUGUGUUGUUCUUCAUAAUAUUACCACUAUUAGAGGAGAGCAACACUCUGCCCUACAAACUGAAGACCCAGAUGAUGACCUCAUCCACCUGCAGCUAUCCAGGACAGCAGAGCAGUCAGAGACACCAUAUGCAAUAAUCACUGCAGAGUUUAAGUCACCAUCAUCACCACCACAGCAGUCAAAUAAACACAUGAUACACAUUUCAUUUGGUCUUCUUUAUUUCCUACAAAUAAAAGAGCUAGUUUAGUUCAUGUUCCAGUAGUUAACAUAAUUCACCUGUGACCUGCACCCACCUCUAACUUGUGCUCCAGUAUUUCAGUUUCCAGAUCUGCCCUCCUAAUCUGGUGGUCCAAGUACUGCAUUUCUUUAUCUGUUUUUUGGAUUUUUGUCAGCAAGUGCAGUUUGUAAAUCUGUUUUACUGGUAACUGGGAAUACAUAGAGGACAUUAAAUUAUACAGUUGCACAUGAAUUCCAUGGACUGAACCUCUGGUGUUUACUGAACAUCCAUCUCACUGUGUCAGUCUGUGCAGUGGAAGUUGAGGAAGCAUCCUGCUGCUGUCCAGCCAUGCUCUGUUAAAAAGGAUGAGAAUGUGCAAUACUUCAGUGUAGGCUAAAUGUCACACUCUAUAUUCCACCAGAAUGUUCAGAAAUGUGAAUGGGAAGAGAACUAUCAGUAACAUACCUCUAGAUGCCUUUCUGGAUCCCCCUCUAUGAAGGCAGCAGACACAGUUUCAUCCUCUUCAUCCUAGAUGAGUGAUAUGUUUCAGUGGACUUAAACUACCAUUUGGCUAAAUCUUUGGAGUAUUGCCUACUUACAGUUACAAGGUCUGUUGUGGUGUGAAGGGGCUCCAUCAGGCAGAUAACACCAUCAGAAUCUGUUGGGCCAAAAGAAGAAAAGACCCAAAAGAGAAAUGAAUAUUUGUAUGAAUAUGCUUGAAAACAUUCCAUAUAUACAUAUACAUGGGCUACACACACAGAGACAUUACAUUUUAUAAAAGCACUUGUG